UGCAGUCGAACGAUACUCUUUAGCUUGCUAAGGAGGAAAGUGGCGCACGGGUGCGUAACGCGUAUGCAACCUACCUUAAUCAGGGGGAUAGCCCGAAGAAAUUCGGAUUAACACCGCAUAAAAUCACAGUACAGCAUUGUACAAUGAUCAAAUAUUUAUAGGAUUAAGAUGGGCAUGCGUGACAUUAGUUAGUUGGCGGGGUAACGGCCCACCAAGACCACGAUGUCUAGGGGAUCUGAGAGGAUGACCCCCCACACUGGUACUGAGACACGGACCAGACUCCUACGGGAGGCAGCAGUAAGGAAUAUUGGUCAAUGGAGGCAACUCUGAACCAGCCAUGCCGCGUGCAGGAAGACAGCCCUCUGGGUCGUAAACUGCUUUUAUUCGGGAAUAAACCUGCUUACGUGUAAGUAGCUGAAUGUACCGAAGGAAUAAGGAUCGGCUAACUCCGUGCCAGCAGCCGCGGUAAUACGGAGGAUCCAAGCGUUAUCCGGAUUUAUUGGGUUUAAAGGGUGCGUAGGCGGCUUUUUAAGUCAGGGGUGAAAGACGGUGGCUCAACCAUCGCAGUGCCCUUGAUACUGAAGAGCUUGAAUGAAUUAGAGGUAGGCGGAAUGUGACAAGUAGCGGUGAAAUGCAUAGAUAUGUCACAGAACACCGAUUGCGAAGGCAGCUUACUAUGAUUUUAUUGACGCUGAGGCACGAAAGCGUGGGGAUCAAACAGGAUUAGAUACCCUGGUAGUCCACGCCCUAAACGAUGAAUACUCGCUGUUAGCGAUACACAGUUAGCGGCUAAGCGAAAGCGUUAAGUAUUCCACCUGGGGAGUACGGUCGCAAGAUUGAAACUCAAAGGAAUUGACGGGGGCCCGCACAAGCGGAGGAGCAUGUGGUUUAAUUCGAUGAUACGCGAGGAACCUUACCCGGGCUUGAAAGUUAGUGAAUCAUUUAGAGAUAGAUGAGUCCGCAAGGACACGAAACUAGGUGCUGCAUGGCUGUCGUCAGCUCGUGCCGUGAGGUGUUGGGUUAAGUCCCGCAACGAGCGCAACCCCUAUGUUUAGUUGCCAGCACGUUAAGGUGGGGACUCUAAACAGACUGCCUGUGCAAACAGAGAGGAAGGAGGGGACGACGUCAAGUCAUCAUGGCCCUUACGUCCGGGGCUACACACGUGCUACAAUGGAUGGUACAGAGGGCAGCAAGCUGGUAACAGCAAGCAAAUCUCCAAAAGCCAUUCACAGUUCGGAUAGAGGUCUGCAACUCGACCUCUUGAAGUUGGAUUCGCUAGUAAUCGUAUAUCAGCAAUGAUACGGUGAAUACGUUCCCGGGCCUUGUACACACCGCCCGUCAAGCCAUGGAAGUUGGGGGUACCUAAAGUAUGUAACCGCAAGGAGCGUCCUAG
rnacentral:rRNA from 1 species